GGAACCCUGAUCCGCAAAUAUGAUAGCAGUUCUGCUUGGUUCCUGUCUGAGCCUGGAUCUGGAUCUGGGAGGUGCUGGCGGGGUCCUGUUCUUCCGCUCUGGUGGGAAUCUGAUUGUGAUCAGCAUUGGGCCGCAUGCCAGAGACAGCUGCAGUCCUGUGCCUGGCCUGGCCGGCCUCGGUGCUACCCGCCACCCCUCACGUCUUCCCUUCUGGCUCCUUGCACGUCACUGGUCAGUCC
rnacentral:lncRNA from 1 species